UACGUAGGGUGCAAGCGUUAAUCGGAAUUACUGGGCGUAAAGCGUGCGCAGGCGGCUAUGCAAGACAGAUGUGAAAUCCCCGGGCUCAACCUGGGAACUGCAUUUGUGACUGCAUAGCUAGAGUACGGUAGAGGGGGAUGGAAUUCCGCGUGUAGCAGUGAAAUGCGUAGAUAUGCGGAGGAACACCGAUGGCGAAGGCAAUCCCCUGGACCUGUACUGACGCUCAUGCACGCAAGCGUGGGGAGCGAACAGG
rnacentral:rRNA from 1 species